UACGGGGGGGGCAAGCGUUGUUCGGAAUUACUGGGCGUAAAGGGCUCGUAGGCGGCCAACUAAGUCAAACGUGAAAUCCCUCGGCUUAACCGGGGAACUGCGUCUGAUACUGGAUGGCUUGAGUUUGGGAGAGGGAUGCGGAAUUCCAGGUGUAGCGGUGAAAUGCGUAGAUAUCUGGAGGAACACCGGUGGCGAAGGCGGCUCUCUGGGACGGUACUGACGCUGAGACGCGAAAGCGUGGGGAGCGAACAGG
rnacentral:rRNA from 1 species